rnacentral:rRNA from 1 species
UCUUAGUGGCGACGGGUGAGUAACGCGUGGGUAACCUGCCUUAUACAGGGGGAUAACACUUAGAAAUAGGUGCUAAUACCGCAUAAGCGCACGGGGCUGCAUGGCCCAGUGUGAAAAACUCCGGUGGUAUAAGAUGGACCCGCGUCUGAUUAGCUUGUUGGCGGGGUAACGGCCCACCAAGGCGACGAUCAGUAGCCGGCCUGAGAGGGUGGACGGCCACAUUGGGACUGAGACACGGCCCAAACUCCUACGGAAGGCAGCAG